AAUCUUGCGCAAUGGGCGAAAGCCUGACGCAGCCAUGCCGCGUGAAUGAUGAAGGUCUUAGGAUUGUAAAAUUCUUUCACCGGGGAAGAUAAUGACGGUACCCGGAGAAGAAGCCCCGGCUAACUUCGUGCCAGCAGCCGCGGUAAUACGAAGGGGGCUAGCGUUGCUCGGAAUUACUGGGCGUAAAGGGCGCGUAGGCGGAUGUUUAAGUCGGGGGUGAAAGCCCGGGGCUCAACCUCGGAAUUGCCUUCGAUACUGGACAUCUUGAGUACGGGAGAGGUGAGUGGAACUCCGAGUGUAGAGGUGAAAUUCGUAGAUAUUCGGAAGAACACCAGUGGCGAAGGCGACUCACUGGCCCGUUACUGACGCUGAGGCGCGAAAGCGUGGGGAGCAAACAGG
rnacentral:rRNA from 1 species